GCAACCAGCAUCGUGAACUCCUUGAAGCGCUAUCACAACGUACAGGUGCCUUUGCUCCUGUCACUGUCCUUUGGCGUCUUACAAUAUGACGUCAAGAGAGACCACAGCAACGAAAGUCCGCGUUUAAGCGGGCUUAACUGUUCCACCGCUACUCUCCAGCCGUUCACUACGGUAUGUGGUACCAAGUCAACCUUUAAGAGCGGUGGAAACGGAGAGAGCAUGCUGUGCCAUUACGAGGACGACACAGUGCACGGUAGAUGGCGCACUUUCAUGACAUCAACAGGCAUCGUCAAUGAAACAGGUUUGGUACAGCGUGUGCUUGACCCCUCAGUCGCUGCUGGCGUCGGCUGGGCUUUUUACGACCUUGAACUCGAGGAUUCCAGCGGUGACUGCGCUCUAUACUGGGGUGGAACGAAGGAGCAGACCCAGAUGUUCGCUUAUUUUCGACUAAAGACUGCUGCGAAAGAAAUACUAGCGCUGAAUGCAACAACUAUAUCUGAUACCAAUGCCAUAGGAAGCAACGUGGAAAGCUCCCAGCCGUUACUUGUCACUGAAGUUGCAGUAGCGCAUUCAAGAGAAUAUGAGACAAGCGUGACGCCCAAGCAUCUUUAAAAGCCAAAAUACAAUACC